AGUUUGGAAUGUGGGGCAGCCACUUUGUAGAGUGGUUCUGCUGCUGCGCCUUUAAGAGUAGUCUGCCGUGUGGGAAUUACGGGUGUUUCUCUCUAGGCUAUUUUGCAGGAGGGAUUCAAGUCCAAACCGGAUGUUUAGCUGUGUGCAAUUAAAGCUCUUAAAGGGCUCUAUCCUCACCCCAUGACAGCAGAUCCAGUUUGGAAAGUGACAGGAAAUGCAUUGAAAAGUCUGGGAUGGACAAAUGAUUAACGGCAAGAGGUACAAACAAUGAAUGCAGGACGGAGACUCGUGGCAGUGUAACCUCCCUGCAAACAAGUCUGAAAAUGGUAACGGACUGCCUUCAAGUCGAUCCCGACUUACGGCGACCCUAUGAAUAGGGUUUUCAUGGCUUUUGAGUUACAAUCUCCUUCCAUGGUUCUUGCUGCCGGUUAACAGGAACCUCUAUCUGGACCGUGUAGUUGCCAGUGUCAGAAGCGGCGAGCAGUGCGAUGUGCAAGGAGCAAUCCUCCCGCACAGUUUUCCUCUCUUGGGCUUGAAAUUUACUUACAGCCAAAACACCCAGAAAUGGACAACGGAUUUAACAGAAGCAUGCUGAAUCUGACUUUGGGUGGCCAACUGACCAGAAAACCAGAUGUGCCGUGCUCUUGUGUGCCCUGGAUAGUAGCCUGAUCUGCAGGAAUCAGCAGGGCAAAACUUUUCACAGCUUGGAGAGAAAACAUGAUCACCAUGCCACCUCGAACAUUUACAUGCCCUAGCUCUAAUUAAAGCAAUGGCGAAGGACCUCUGGCCUGGGGGCUGCCUGGCCCUCCAGGUUUUUCUGUCUGGUCCUCGGAACUCUCUCCAGGCCACGGCUCUCCUUGGCCCUUCUUUUACACCCUCCAUGAGUGCUUUGGCCUGGCUGGCAUGUUCCUGAACAUCGAGAAUGCCUCUUGGUUCCCUGGAUGGAGGCCAGAGAGGGGGGUGGGUGUCUAGGCACUAGCCUACUGUGCAGAGGUAAAACGUACAUUUGUUACCCUGCUCACGUUUGCCUAUGGCCCACCCACCACUGGCAUGUGGCCCUCAGGAGAUUGCCUAGGAGGGAAUGCGGCCCUUGGGCUGGAAAAGGUUCCCCGCUUCACAGAUGCAGGGCAAGAGAGCUGCCCACCCUGUUUACAGUUGUUGGGGAGGCGGUUAAUGUUUGGGUGUGACAUUUGGGGCUGGUGGGUAGAACUGAGGUGCAGGUGAAGGACAGAAGGGGGGGAAAGUGAAGUGUUCCCCCCCCACUUGAAUCAUGCACACACUACAUAUUUGUAGCACAGUGCCAGAGAGGGAUAGAUCACCACGCCCAGGAUGAAAGCAGUGCGAGGGGCCGUGGGGAAGUGCAGCUUCACCAAAAGAUCUGAGAGCCAGGGGUGUGUGUGUCCCUGCUGGGCAAGGCUGCCAGCUUUUCUUUCAGCAGUGCUCUUGUGCCUUUUGCAGCAGGGAUGCAACAGCUUCGAGCGAGUUGGAUUCGGGCAAGAGGAGACCUGGAUUCAAAUCCCUACUCUGCAAUAAAGCUAACUGGGAGAUGCUGGACUAGUCUUUGCCAAACCUUUUUGGCAGGAUUGUUGUGAGGAUGGAUGUUGGGGCAAGCCAUGCAUUACACCCUAAGUUCAGUGGAGGAAGGACGGGAGGGGGAGGGGGAAGGUACGAGAUAAAUAAAUAUAGGAUUUCCCAGCGUGGUCGUGCAAUGGCAGAAAAGGUUGGAUUUCUGCCGGCUACACAGUUAAAGGCACAGGAGCCUUUCCAUAAAAAAGGUGGCAACCUUACUGGGAGGGGUUUAAUGCUUACCAGAGACCUGUAAGUAAACUGAAGCUCUGUGGACUUUCCCUUCAGUAUCUUGCUCUUGGUCUGGUUGCUGUACUGGAGCCUCCUCUAUCUCCACGGUGUAAUUUCCCGUAUCCAGCUGUGUCAAUCGCGUGAUAUGCAGGGAGCAGUUGCGAUACACUGUCUCCCGCCCACUGUAUGCACUGCCUUGCCUCUGCUGGUCCCGAGACUGGGGGGAGUACGUGGCGAUGGUGCCUGAGCCCCCUGACCGGGUCUCUCGGGACCACUGGCACUGCACAAACGAGCUGGGGGAUCCCCACAGGGUCAACGUGAUGUUCUGACCCACCUUAGGGUUUGAUGGCUCAACCAUCACAGAUAGUCUGCGCUGCGCUGGCACCAGCUGCAAGACACAGCUUAGGAUGAAACCUGCAAGGGGAGGCAAAACGACAUGUGAGUCAGGUCUUCAGUCUGUUAGCAGUGGUCCCAAAUGAAAGAUAGCUCUGUCGUAAAAGAAGCUCUUCGUCCUGACAUUCUACGUCUUGAUUAUUAGAGCAGUAUUUCCAUUUGGAGAGAAGCGCUGCGACUCUCCACACCCAAAUUCAAUAUAUCCCUGUUUUGAGAGAAGAUCCAUGUCCUGAAGCUCUGCAUCCUGAUUAGUGGAUCAAUAUUUCUAUUCUGAGAGAAGCUCCACAUUCUAAAGCUCCAUACUCUGAUCAAUAGAAAUCCUGCCUGGCCUCAGCUCCCUUUUCUCCUCUGGUUUUUGAGAUGCAACAUGUUCUGCUUGCGAACUUAGUUUUUCUUAAAAACCAAAUGCAAAACCCAAUUCUUUUAAUCGUAUGCAUAUCCAAUCAAUCAAUUGACAACAGUAUGAUGAAUUUAGGGUUUCUUUAAUUGGGCAACAGACCAAAUGCAUACAGUGACGCAGACCAUGGAUAAAAGUGGAUCCCGGAUCCGAAUAAGUAUAAGUUUGCUCUUCCAACUGGAAAACAGGAAGUUACCUUGUACCAAAUCAGACUUGUUCCACUUAGCUCAGUAUUGCCGACACUGACUGGCAGUGUCUCUCCUGGGUUCCAGGCAGGGAACUCUCCCAGCCCUACCUGGAGAUGCUGCCGGGGAGAGAAUCCGGGACCUUUUGCAUGCAAAGCAGAUCUUCUCCCACUGAGCCCUGGCUGUUCCUCUCAAGGGAGUACUUCUGGGGCGACAGGAUAUAUCGGCUAAUUGCAAAGAAGCACCCGGCCUGAAAGGCUUCUAAGGGCAAAAGAAAGGGAGCAUCACCUGCUGACGCUCAAGGCUGCCAUCCUAUACCACUGACAUGCAUAAGACUGCGCAGUUCGGCUGCAGUCAUAGGAAGCUGCCUUACCCUGCGUCAGACCAUGGGUCCAUCUGGGUCAGUAUUCUCUACACUGACUGGCAGAGGCUCUCUGGGGGUUCUGGCAGGGGACCUUCCCAGCCCUACCUGGAGAUGCUGGGGAUUGAUCCUGGGCUCCUUCUGCAUGCAAGGCAGACGCUCCGUUGCCGAACGACGGCCCUUUCCCAACUGACCUGUGAGAAGGAGGGCCUUCAGUGAGCCCUGCCGGCUGCUGUGGAGACCCAUCAUCUCUUCCUCCUGCCAAUGUAGUCUGUGAAACGGGCAGCCCUUGCAAGGAGCAGGCCGGAUGGAUCUUGAGCCUCUUCUUCUGGCAAAGGCUGGGGUCCCUCUGUCUGUCCCUCUGUCUGUCUCUCUGUUGGUGACACUCCCUGAUGCUUCUCCUUUUGUCCUGCAGCAGAAAGGAAGGAAGCCAGAGCCAUUACAAAAGGGGUGAUGAUGCUCCGGCAGCCACAAUCCUGCCCUUCUUUGGGUCUUUUUGUUGUUGUUGCUUCUGAGUUGCACCAUCCUAAGGUGACUAAGGCGGUGAGUCCUGGUGGCCCAGCCCUGUCGUGCAAAUCGGGAAGUGGGCAGCCGGGUCACCGGGUUUUUGUGGGGCUGGCAGGGGAGUUUGGCAGGGGCCCCCUACUUUGCACAAAAGGAUCCUUUCUUGAUGCAGUGUCCGUCAGCUGUGUCCAUGGAAUCUUAGGGAGUUACCUUGGCGACACAGAGAGGUCCCCGCUCCCAGGGAGCAUACAGCAAGGGGAAAUGAUACAAGGAGGCAGAAAGGGAGAACCCAGCUUUCCUGGGAGAUGGGGGAGAAUAUCCACUAAUUAGUACCAGAUUGCAAUGAAUCUGACAGUCCGCUAUCUUUUCAGACUGUCACUGAUUUUUUGCAGUGGGCCAACACUGUAAUUGGCACAGGUUUCUUUCCGAUAACCCCCCUGAUUUUACAUAAUUAUUGUUGUAAUUUCUUCUAAAUUGAUGCAUUCAUAACAGUGUGUAGGUGUGAUAAAUAGGAAAAAAUAAACCACGUGGAAUAUCAUGAUCAUUUACAUAGGAACAAAACUACGCCAUUUUCUUCCCGCAACCAACCACCACCACCACAACAGUGGAUCGAAUCAGCGAGUGCCGAAGCAAGCGGAGACAAAAAAAAAGAGGAUUGGGAUCAAAUGGACUAUCAGAAUACAAGCAGAUCGGAACGAGGCAGCCAACCCCUUCCUACCAGGGAGCAGGGAUGGGAAGAUCUGUCCAUUUCGGUUUUUCCAAUCUUAAAUUCAGUUUUCCACAUUCCUGCAGCAAUUUGUGGUGGUUUUUUUUUUAAAGCUCUCAUGGAAAUUCUCCCACUGCCACUGAGCCAUUUAAGUGUGAAUUUCUCCUAAUAAUCCAUUUUUGUAGGCUGUUUGACUAAUGUAUACAUUCCUGCAUGAAAUGUCUUGUCAUAUAAUGCAUUUUUGUAUGUUGUUUUCACUCGUAUAUCUAUUUUUAUGCAUACU